UUGAAUUUACCAUAUCUACAGAUGGAGUACAAAUUAAGAAGAGAAAAAUCAAAUAUCACCACAAUGAUGGAAUUUAUCCUCUUGGGGUUUUCUGAUAUUCCCAAUUCCCAAUGGAUUCUUUUGGGGAUAUUUUUAAUCCUCUAUCUGACCAUCCUGAUGUGCAAUAGUGUCAUUGCACUGAUAACAAGAAUUGACCCUACUCUCCAGACCCCCAUGUACUUUUUCCUCAACCACAUUUCCAUUUUAGAAAUCUGUUAUGUAACUGUCACUAUCCCAAGAAUGCUAACAGACCUCCUGAACCAUAAAGGGCAUGUUUCUUUCAUGGCCUGUGCUACACAAAUGUGUUUGGUCCUUCUGUUCGGAGGUUUAGAGUGUCUCCUCCUGGCUGUGAUGGCCUGUGACCACUAUGUGGCCAUUUGUAACCCUUUUCACUAUGGUCUGAUCAUGAGCCCCCAGGUCUGUGUCCAGCUGGUCACUGCCUCCUGCGUCAGUGGAUUUCCUGUUGUAAUUGGGCAAACAUGGCAGGUUUCCUCUCUGCCCUUUUGUGGGUCUACCACAAUUAAUCAUUUUUUUCUGUGACCUCUCCCCAGUAUUCAAGCUUGCUUGUGGGAACACAUUUCUGAACGAUUUAGCAGUCUACGCAGUUGCAAUGGUAUUCAUCAUGCUUCCAUUUCUGUUGAUUGGUGUCUCCUAUGGCAAGUUCAUCUCCAACAUUCUGAAAUUAGGGAGGGCUAAAGCCUUCUCCACUUGCUCGUCUCACCUCACAGUGGUGGCCUUAUUCUAUGGCACAGCCUCUACCACCUAUUUACAGCCCAAACCAUAUCCAUCUGAAGACACUGGGAAGCUGAUAUCUCUUUUCUACACAGUUUGGAUCCCAAUGUUGAAUUCCACUAUAUUUACUCUGAGGAACAAAGAUAUCACUGUAGCAUUGAGAAAACGACUAAGUAAAUUA
rnacentral:lncRNA from 1 species